CUUGCCACCUCCCUGUGGAGAUAGAGCAUAGGGCCUAUUGGGCCAUCAAGAAACUAAACUUGGAUUUCCAUCUUUCGGCUAAGGAGAGAUUUCUUCAAAUGCAAGAACUUGAGGAGCUUAGGUUGGAUGCCUAUGAGUCUUCUAGAAUCUAUAAGGAGAAAACAAGGAUCCUUCAUGACAAGCUAAUCUUGAGGAAAAAGUUCCAAGAAGGAGAUCAAGUCCUCUUGUUCCAAACAAGGUUUAUUCAUAAGCAUGCCAAGUUGAAGUCUAAGUGGGAGGGACCAUAUUUAGUGACCAAGGUGUUUCCCUAUGGGGUUUUGCAACUCUUGAAUAAAGCCACGGGUUCCACUAUGCAAAUCAAUGGUCACCUAUGCAAGCUCUACAAAGAUGCCAAAUCACUUCAAAAGGAGGAGGACUUCUCUCAACAUGUUUUUGAACCACCAUGAUAAGGUGGCAUGUGACUUGUGCAUCAAUUGGGCAAUUGAGGUCAACACUCCUUGAGGACAAUGGCUGAUGGUUUGCACGUGAAUUAUGAUUAUUUUGAGGGAUUAGAUCAGCUAAAAUGAUGUGGAUGACACAUGGGAAAUUAGGCACACAUUGGAAUCAUCUACAAACCAAUAGGAAGUUGCCACCUUGCAAGUGUGACAAGGCUCCCAUUUACAUUUUAAUUUCUUUUUCCUUAUUUUAAUUAAGCUUCAGCUGAUGGGAGACACCAAGGAGCACGCCAUUUUAAGUCCCAAAUGGGAUCCAACACAUAUCUCAUUCAUCUUCCACAUUCUCUCUCUCUUGUUCAUAGUGUUCUUCAUUUUCUCUCUUUUGUUCUUCAUUUUCCAGCACCCUAACCUCCAUUUUCAGCCACCAAACCUCCACAAAACUCAUACCAUUCUUCUCCUCUCUUCAUUUUCGUUCCAUCCCUUCCAUUUUCACAAGGAUUGAAGCUCAUUUCCAUCAUUCAAGAGCUAUGGAGUUUGGCCUUCACAAGCAAUCACUAGGGUUCUUGAAGAUGAAGAUUGGCUAAGUUUCUUUGUGGAAUCCUAGAGAGAUGAAGAUGGAGGAUGAGUCUUGAGCUUCAAAUUGGCUAAGUUCUUUUGUUUCCUAUCCUCUUCUCUUUUUACUAGAUGGUUAGAUUCCUUAAUCUAGGGUCUAAUCAUCUUAGCUUAUAAAUUCUAAUUUGAAUUUGAUGUUGAUGUAAAGAGAGAGGAUUGUUUCAUUUAAUUUCUUCCUUGGACAGCCAUGACUGAAUUUUGCCACUCUUUGUUUGGCACAUAAUCUUGUGUUUUUCAAUUAGUGAAUUUCUUGUGUUAAUA